UUUUUUCUUCUCCCAAUACUGACAAAGUUGUCUUAUUAAAUACUGCUUUGUGAGUUAAGCUAAUUUUUCCGGUUCCCAAGUUUUUUUUAAGAUUAAAGAGAAUACAAAGAGGUUGAUUGUGUAUGGAGUAUUUGUUUUGCUUUGAGUUGGAGAACAAAAAGACUAUUCUUCUUCCAUAUUGCACAAGAUUCUGAAUUACUCUCCUUUCCUCACCGAACUCCAUUUUCUCCUUUCUUUAAUUUCAAUUAUUCAUCAAACAUCACAAAUUAUUUUUU
rnacentral:lncRNA from 1 species